rnacentral:lncRNA from 1 species
AUGCUUCUCUUGAUUGUUUUGCAGUUUUGUCCUGGUGGAGAGAAGCCAGCCAUCUUGAAGAAUGGCUCCUCCUCUAGAAUUGUCUGCUGCCUCCUCAUCCACUUGCAGUUGGCUUCCAGCUGGGCUUGGACGUGGUCAUUUUCAGAGCCAGCUCUGGCCUGUGGUGUUGUAAAGGGACUUUGUUGGCCCUGCAGGAGAUAAGGAGGUGGCAUGUGCAGUGGGAACCACAGAGGAUCUGAGGGGAGAUAAGAAUCAUCACAUCAGAGGACAUGCUCCUGACCCUGGCCUCUUGUCUGUAAAUGCGGAUCCUAAGGACACCCCCUAAUAAAAUUGUGCCUUCUUGUCUCCAUCUCUGCUUUCCAGAGAAUUCGACCAGUGACAUCACUCUAAUCUCAGCUAACCAGAGGUUUCCCCUCCUCAUGAGCUUUAGAGGACAGAAAUGAAUACAAGGAAAGAAGAAGCCAUUCCCAUCUUCAUUCUUUACUCAACAAGGACCUGCUGAGCUCCUCCGCAGCCCCUGACACUGCUGAGCUCUGGG